UAGACGUGCUUCGCAGAUCACGCGAAACAGUCAGUCUAGAUUCUGCACUCAAGAGUAAGAAAGCGUUUGAUCCGAACUCAACGAUUUAAACGAACUUAAAAUGACUGAACAACUUACAAACAUUGAUGUGGACGACUCAGCUGCACCGAAGUCUAUGUUCCCUGGAUUGGCAUGCAAAGUGUGCGCAGAUAUUUCAAGUGGAAAACAUUAUGGUAUCUAUGCCUGCAAUGGAUGUAGCGGCUUCUUCAAACGAAGUGUGCGCAGAAAACUGGUCUACAGGUGUCAGGCUGGAACCGGAAUGUGCAUGGUUGAUAAAGCUCAUCGCAAUCAAUGCCAAGCUUGUCGACUCAAGAAAUGUCUCGAAAGUGGAAUGAAUAAAGACGCCGUUCAAAAUGAAAGACAACCCCGCAGUACGUCACAAAUCAAAAUUGACAGAGCUCCGAUUGUCACUGCCGUUGACCAGAGAGAUUUGACAUCCAAUGUACUUCAAGGUAGCCGCGAACCUAAUUCAUUAAACCACAUACAGACGAAUGGGCAAAGGAGUCCAUUGGCAACCCAUCGGUUUAUGGUUGGACUAAUGAAUGCUGAAACGUGUGCCAAACUCGAGCCAGAAGAUGCAAUGCACAUUGCAGAAACCACAGGUUAUUCCCACGAAGAACAGAUGCAGUAUGGUAUGGAAAUGGUCGGCCCACCACGCGAAUUCACGUUCUUCCACGCUGGGCGUGAGAAUGUAUACGAAUAUUCGGCUCGUCUUCUAUUCAUUGCCGUCAAAUGGGCGAAAUCGCUUCCAUCGUUUGCUCAUCUACCAUUCAGAGACCAGGUUAUUUUGCUGGAAGAAGCUUGGAGUGAAUUAUUUCUCUUGUGUGCCAUCCAGUGGUCGAUGCCACUCGACUCCUGUCCACUUCUGACAAUUUCAGAGUUCUUCAAAAAUGCAGAAACCAACAGCAAAUCAUCAAUGAUACUGUCUGACAUCCGGGUCCUUCGAGAAAUAAUAAGCCGAUUCAAAGCCAUUGGAGUUGACGCGGCAGAAUUUGCUUGCAUGAAGGCUAUCGCAACAUUUAAACCAAGUAAGAUACGCUACAAAAGGAUUAAAAGAUCCACAUCAAGUUGAGAACCUUCAAGAUCAGGCUCAGGUUAUGCUGAAUCAACACAUACAGACCCAUCAUGCCUCGCAUCCGGUCAGAUUCGGUCGUCUUCUCCUUAUGAUGCCUUCGUUACGUUUGGUUGCAGCCGAGAAAAUCGAGCUUCUGUUUUUCCGGCCUACGAUUGGAGACACGCCUAUGGAACGUCUGCUCUGUGAUAU